CUCUCUGACUCAGAUCGCAUGAAUCUGCAGCACUGAUAGUUUUCUUGGCUCAAGAAAAGGAAGGGAGGACUAUUCCAAGACUUCCACAGAGAAACUUCCAGAAAUCCAUUUAACACGUGGGUUAACACACACUGGCCUUUCGUUCGUGGGAUUCAUAAAGUUUCACAUGGUUUUGAGAUGAUUCAAGGGUGAAGACUUUAAACAACAUCCCUUCCAACUCUCAGACUAUGAUUCAACACAUUGUUUCUCAUAAUUGCCUGCUGUUAAGAGUCAGCUAAGGAUGCCUGUUGAAAAUAGACUCCA